CUUGACCGACCCCAGCAGCAGCGGAUCAUCCGCGGCGCGCUCACGGCCAUAGGUGGCCAGCAACGCCUGCGCCUC
rfam:Streptomyces violaceusniger Tu 4113, complete genome.